UACGGAGGGGGCAAACGUUGCUCGGAAUCAUUGGGCGUAAAGCGCACGUAGGCGGUCCAGCAAGUCGGGUGUGAAAGCCCUGGGCUCAACCUGGGAAUUGCAGUCGAUACUGGAGAGCUAGAGUUCGGUAGAGGGUGACGGAAUUCCCGGUGUAGCGGUGAAAUGCGUAGAUAUCGGGAGGAACAUCGAUGGCGAAGGCAAUCACCUGGGCCUGAACUGACACUGAGACACGAAAGCGUGGGUAGCAAACAGG
rnacentral:rRNA from 1 species